rnacentral:lncRNA from 1 species
UCGGAAUUACGACUUCUCACGUUCCGAAUGGACAUCCUAUCAUCGGUGUUAACUUUCAAAACAACAAUUAUAUUUUGCAUAUUUAUAAUUUUAUUCUAUGAUAUAUUCUUUUAUUUUCUGUAUGCACCUACAUAUAUAUAUUAUACUUAAAUAUUUUAUUUCCAUUACAUACCUAACUUAUUCUUGUUACUAAAAAUACAUUUUUAUUUACUUCUAUUUACUUAACUCAUUUUUAUAUAAUUA